rnacentral:snRNA from 1 species
UUCGCACAAUUGGUCAUCGCGC